AGCAAUGUCAUCCGUUCGGUGGAAGAUA
rnacentral:sRNA from 1 species